rnacentral:rRNA from 1 species
CCUACGGGAGGCAGCAGUGAGGAAUAUUGGUCAAUGGACGCGAGUCUGAACCAGCCAAGUAGCGUGAAGGAUGACUGCCCUAUGGGUUGUAAACUUCUUUUAUAAAGGAAUAAAACGAGGCACGUGUGCCGUUUUGCAUGUACUUUAUGAAUAAGGAUCGGCUAACUCCGUGCCAUCAGCCGCGGUAAUACGGAGGAUCCGAGCGUUAUCCGGAUUUAUUGGGUUUAAAGGGUGCGCAGGCGGAGGCACAAGUCAGCGGUAAAAUCGCGGGGCUCAACCCCGCUUCGCAGUUGAAACUGUGUUCCUUGAGUGCGCGAAGGGUAGGCGGAAUGCGUGGUGUAGCGGUGAAAUGCAUAGAUAUCACGCAGAACUCCGAUCGCGAAGGCAGCCUACCGGCGCGCAACUGACGCUCAUGCACGAAAGUGUGGGUAUCGAACAGGAUUAGAUACCCUUGUAGUC